AGGAGGAACAGCCCCAGUGGCGGGGCCAGCUCUGGAAACCUGGAUUCAGCUCCGGCAGGAACUCCGUCUGCAGGGCCUGGAGGCUCUGGGGCGGG
rfam:Canis lupus familiaris chromosome 1, whole genome shotgun sequence.